GAUGAACGCUGGCGGCGUGCCUAAUACAUGCAAGUCGAGCGAACAGACGAGGAGCUUGCUCCUCUGACGUUAGCGGCGGACGGGUGAGUAACACGUGGAUAACCUACCUAUCAGACUGGGAUAACUUCGGGAAACCGGAGCUAAUACCGGAUAAUAUAUUGAACCGCAUGGUUCAAUAGUGAAAGACGGUUUUGCUGUCACUUAUAGAUGGAUCCGCGCCGCAUUAGCUAGUUGGUAAGGUAACGGCUUACCAAGGCGACGAUGCGUAGCCGACCUGAGAGGGUGAUCGGCCACACUGGAACUGAGACACGGUCCAGACUCCUACGGGAGGCAGCAGUAGGGAAUCUUCCGCAAUGGGCGAAAGCCUGACGGAGCAACGCCGCGUGAGUGAUGAAGGUCUUCGGAUCGUAAAACGCUGUUAUUAGGGAAGAACAAAUGUGUAAGUAACUAUGCACGUCUUGACGGUACCUAAUCAGAAAGCCACGGCUAACUACGUG
rnacentral:rRNA from 1 species